rnacentral:rRNA from 1 species
UGGUCACCUUUUUGAAGCUUGCCCCAAAUGCUACUGUAUAUAUGUGUGUGUGUGUAUGCGUGCUUGCUAGUUGCCGCAUGCACACACAUGUAUAUGGGGUGAGCCCGCACUUGCCAGUAUGGUGCUCGAGCUGGUGAGAGGUGAACGGCUAACGUUGGUGUCUAUGUGUUGCUGAGCAGGCUGUCUUCGUCCGUGGCUGUGAUGAGGCAACGCGUUAGUGCUGCAUAUGCUGCGCCAGUGCGCUAUGUGGUUUAAGACUUGAUGAGCCCACUGCUAGGGGCCGCCAACAUUUCUUCUUUUUCAAUACAUUUUUAAAACACAAAAAAAAUUCUAGUCUUACCGGUGGAUCACUCGGCUCGCGGGUCGAUGAAGAACGCAGCUAACUGCGAUAAAUAGUGUGAACUGCAGAAACCUUGAACACAAAACUUUCGAAUGCACAUUGCGCCAUUGGAGUCUUAUCCUUUGGCACGCCUGGUUCAGGGUCGUAACCCUAAUACACUUCAUUAAGUGUGAACAGUAGUGGGUUCACUCACACUCACGCCUUGCUACUGUGUGCGUGCUGUUGUGUGUGUACACGCUGAAUUUGCUAUAGCUGUGCGCUAGUGCUGGAGUUGCGGGUGUCUAUCGGGUCAGUCAGAAGUUGUUUGCUCAACCGACCCAUAGCGCCAUGAGGGCAUUUGCAGUGCGGCUAGUGCCUGUGCUUGCCUGCGCUUCAUCAGUGCUGGUGUGUAUGCUUUUUGAGUGCAUGUGUGUACAUAGGCUGCGUGCUUGGCCGCUUUGCGCUUGCUACUGUGUGCGGCGGCUGCUAGUGGCCUAUCUGCGUGCAUCAGCACUCUUAACUAUUUGCAUUUUCGACCUGAACUCAGACGUGAAUACCCGCUGAACUUUUAAA